UUUGAAACCUUCACUGACCUGUCUGUCGGGAGACAGACCUGAAGCUGCCAUGUACGAACUCCCAAUGGUUUUAAUUUUCUCCACCUCCUGAAAGUAACACUCAUCCAGCAGCUGCACAAAGAGGCUGGGUCAAGGGGGCAGCAGUCUAAGUAAAGAGCCCCAACACGUCCUCCAGCUGUCUGGGGAAGCGAGGCGUGCAGGAAUCCUUCUCCUACCAGGUCCAGUGCUAGGUCCAUUGUUCCAUGACUGGGGACAACACCGAGGUACAAGCCGUCCCUGAACCUGGUGGUGGACGCUAUAACCCCAUCCCUGUAAAGGAUGCCGACAAGCUGAAGCAGGAGUCCUAACAAGCUUGGGUGCCACAUGGGGAAGCUAAUGGUAACCGCCGAUCAAGCAUGCUGCAGCCAGGCAGGAGGUAAAAACUCGGGUUUCAUAUAGUUCAGGAUACCAGGAAGCCUCAGCGAACUCUUUGGUGCCUCAGGAAAGGAACAGUCCUUCACCAACACUGCUUACAGUGGAGGUGGGGAGCUGUUUACCUCCACUGGAGGAGGGAAUUAUUUGAGGUCACCUUCUGUUGGGAAGCAACUAGCACAACAUGCUCAAUCACCAGUAUCACAUUUAGAGUCUUGACUUUUGGGUUGAAAUGUUUGAACACAAUGUGUUCAUCACCCAAGAAAUAUUAGCACAUUAGCACAAGCAUCAUCAUUGUCAUAUCUGUUUCUGUUUGUAUGACACAUUAUCAUGACCUCGUCAAAGUCGGUGAUGAUGUGGUUGAGGAGGCGAAGGCAUUCAACAUGCUGAUGAACCAGCUCCUGUUGCUCAUAGAAGUCAGAGAAACCUGGCAAGGAGGCAAAGAGGACGCCAACGCGCUCGUAUGACUGCGAGUACAGCUCCUGAAAAACAAAUUAGCUGUGUUCAUGGCUGGAAGGACCACGGUGGGUUUACUUUAACACCAAAUGGAAUUAAUUGCACCUCAUUGUCGCGCUCUCGCUCCAGGAAAUGCUGUGCGACGUGAGCCGGCAGGAUGUUGAGCAGCAGACACUCGUUGUGCUCCCUCAGCUCCUUCAUGUCCUCCACCUCCUUUCUGGCUUGGAGACGCCACAGGAAGUCUAGGCGGGCUGUUGCCUCCAGCUACCAACAAAGAAGAAGGUGGAAGCAUGACAAUCAAAUGAUGCUCAACACACACAGGUUGCUGACAUCUGCGCUAGAACCCACCUGUCUGCUGUUAUAGAGGACAGCAAUUACAAACAUCACCAUGAGAACAACACAAACUCCCUUCCUGCACAAGUGAUGCGACCUGGGAGACAAAGAGAGACACGUGAGGAAGAUGAAGAGCAGUCAGCUGGAAGCCAUUCCCUUACUAAGGUCACCUGUAUGUCUCUAUGAGGUAGGUGUAGAGGGCAGCAGCUAAUAGGAGCACAGCCAGCUUCAACAUGCAACUCAGCCUGAGGAACACCACGCAGGUAACCAUGGCAACCACGCCACUCAGCACCAUGUACUGUGAACGAGAUGGGAUGGGUGACUUAAUGUGCUGACCACAUGCAGAUGCUGGUUGUGUGUUGAACUGUAUUUGUGCGUGGUCACCUCCGGGUGUGUACAGAUGUUGGUGGAGGUGGGCGGAGUUUCUGAAGGAUCACACCACACCUGGACAAUCAAACAAAAACAACAACAAUACCGCCAGAGACGGUGAAAUUUUAGCGGCGUGUUGCCUCUGUUUGUGUUACUGACUUUAUAGUGAAGACUUACAAUGUCUGAGGAGGCGACUGUGAAGUUGACGGUGAUGGCAGUAAGCGUGAGGAGCGUCCGAGCACUCUUGGUCUCAUGGAUCCAACAACAGAGAGACUGAAGAGCAGCUGGACAGCACUUGAACUCCUCAGCCAGGCUCAAUGUGAGGAGCAGGGAGUAAACGCUGCCACUGAUAACAAACUGGACGAUCAUGGGACACAACCUGGAGAGACAGAAAACAUCAAGACUGAUAUAUUACAAAUGUGAACAAAAAGUUCUUUAAAUGCAUUUUGAUAUUUCAACCAUCAUUUGAAAAUGAAAGGUCUGCUUCAUGAGGCUGGGAGGUUUAAGGGAGGUGAACCCAGUGAUGUACCUGGGAGCGGGGAUCAGCACUUGGACAGUCAUCAGCAGCAGCAGCAGGAUAAAGGAACACAUCAUGUUGGACUUGAAGAGUUCAUCUCUCAUUUGGGAGUACUGAGACAAAACAGCACCAGUCAGCAAUGUCACAGCUGCACGUGCUCCGUUCUGUCAGCGAGUCACAGCAUUACCUUUCCCUCCAUAUGUGAGUCCUUGAACACCUGAGUGAAGGAGGUGAUGUGCUCCUUUCUCAUUCGCUCACUGCUUCGUACUUCCAUGGCCUCUCGAAUCCUCUUGUUGACUUCCCGCGAGCCGGACCGCUGAGCUGAGAGCUGGUUGGGCAGUUGAGUGAGCGAGCCAUUGGUGAAGGUGGCGAGGAUCUAUGUAGAGAACACAGAAGGUCAAAGGUCAGUCACUAACUGGGAGACAGCCAGAGGUCAUAAUUAGGAAGGGUCAGUUCAUCCUCACAAAGUUCAUGCCCAGGACGUCUCCAAAGGGCAGCUCUGCGCUCCAGGUGGUCAUCUCGUCAUAGCUGGGUCGUCUGGCUUUAGGGGGCUCGGCCUCCUCCUUCAGCACGGGCCGGAUCAGGAACGUGUCAAUGUUGUGUUUGCGUAGGAACUCGCUGCGUUCCUGGCCGUGUCCCACCUCUGUCUCGUAAAUCCCACCAAGACAGUCCAGAGUUGCCCGAGAGAUAUGGAUCCGCCUGAGACAAGACACGGGUUCUGUUUAUGUUAAUGAAGUGAGGAGGCAGACUUCACCUGCCUCCACGCAGCUGAAUACCAGCCUGACCACACACACACUCAGGAUCCCCCUGGUCACCUCAGCCGUCAUCUCGUCCCUCUACACACACCCAACCAUUAGCUGAUUAAAUGUAGUGAACCUGCUCAUGAUCAACAGUAAUUCCUCCAAAUUCCUCUAUAAAGUUUGCUGUAGUGUAACCGCUGACUAUUACCCUGGCGUUCCUGCAGCUUCCAGACUGUUAGCGAUGUCCACGUCCCAGCUCCAGAUGUCAAACUGCCACUUCUGGACCCCCAACACACCACAAAGCACGGACCCAGAGUGGACCCCGAUCCUCAUGUCGAGCUCUUGCUGCAGUUCCCGACGAACAUACCUGCAACACACAUACACAGAUUAGUGCUAGGCCUCCUGGAAACACUUCAAAUUGUGUGUGUCAUCUUUUGUGUUCACCGUAUGGUGUUGAUCAUACUCAGGCCCAUUUCGACGCAGCAGCGAGCGUGUGCCCUCUGAGGCUCUGGGACCCCAGACACACAGUAAUAACAGUCGCCCAGGAUCUUAAUACGCAGACACUGAUGCUCCUGAACACAGGGACAAAUGGUGAAGCCUUAAGCUUCCAUCUAAACUCAUCCAUUUAUACAGUAGUUAUACAGAACUAGGACGUGUGUAAUCUCACCUCUGACAGCUUAUCAAACCGACCAAAGAGUUCAUUGAGAGUCUUGACUAGUUCCUGAGCCGACAGAAUCAGUGAGAGGGAAGUGAAGCCGAUGAUGUCUGCGAACAGGAUGCUGUUAGGAAGAGAGACGUGUUGAAAGUGAUCUGUGAUUUGUACAUUCUAGUCUCUGCCCUCACUGCUUGUCUGACCUGACAUCUUUGUAGUGGUGAAUGUAGAUCUUGUGGAACUGCUGAGGCAGCAGGUAUUCGUCCAUGACGGCCAUGUCAGAGAUCAUCUCCAGAACCAGGAAGCGUGGGAGGAUGGACAUCAAGAGACGCUCCUGGGUGACAAAUGGGCAGCGAUUUCAGAUAUGGGACACGACAGCCGGGCACGUCCUUCUAUGCAACGCCUGGUCUCCAGAAAGGCCUGUCUCUGGGUCCGAUCUGACAGGUAGUGGAUGAACAGGCCUGCUGUGUUCAUGGCCAGGUACAGCAAGGCCUUGGACAAGACCUGCACAGGCGAGAGCAGGUGCAGCGUGGACGUGGUUGUGCCAGCGAUGAUGGACCAGAGCAGCGGGAGCGGCAGCAGCGUGUAGGUGGAGAACAGGGUGAAGAAAACGUACCAGGUGUGAUCGCUCUCAGCCCAACUGAAGACGCCCACCAACACCUGGACGGUCUGAGACACCCAGCUCAGCAGCGACAGAGCCAGCAGGCAGAUGGCUGCCCACAGGACCACGAACAGCCCAGUGAGCCAGUCACAGGCGACACCGCCGCGGCCCGGAGGCCACGUCAGCAGAGAGAUGAGGAGGCGGGUCAAGAUGUCGAUGACGCUGGUGACAACCAGAGAGGUGUGCUGCAGUGUGGGAAUGAAGACGCCUCGAACCGUUGAGCCGCAGGACACGAAGAAGUCUCCGUCGCUGAGCGAGUGCUGCUUCCUGCGGGCAGUCAUGCGCGGUGUCAGCGGGUGGACACGGGCUGCGGACGAGCGCCGCUUCUGCCACAGGGCACGAGACGCUUUGUUACGGAUUUGCCUGCACAAGAAGAAACAGCUGCGUCGGUGACGAUGAUGCGGUGCCUCCCUCUCUCCAGGCCUCCAGCUAGCCUCAGCGAGUACAGGUUGUGCUGGUCGAUGAUGUUCCUGACGGCGUUCUGCCACAGCAGCUGCUUCCUGCGCAGGCCGGGGCCGGGGC